rnacentral:rRNA from 1 species
CCUAACACAUGCAAGUCGAACGGCUCUUCGGAGCAGUGGCGGACGGGUGAGUAACGCGUGGGAACGUGCCCUUUGGUUCGGAACAACACAGGGAAACUUGUGCUAAUACCGGAUGAGCCCUUCGGGGGAAAGAUUUAUCGCCAUUGGAGCGGCCCGCGUUGGAUUAGGUAGUUGGUGGGGUAAAGGCCCACCAAGCCGACGAUCCAUAGCUGGUCUGAGAGGAUGAUCAGCCACACUGGGACUGAGACACGGCCCAGACUCCUACGGGAGGCAGCAGUGGGGAAUCUUGCGCAAUGGGCGAAAGCCUGACGCAGCCAUGCCGCGUGAAUGAUGAAGGUCUUAGGAUUGUAAAAUUCUUUCACCGGGGAAGAUAAUGACGGUACCCGGAGAAGAAGCCCCGGCUAACUUCGUGCCAGCAGCCGCGGUAAUACGAAGGGGGCUAGCGUUGCUCGGAAUUACUGGGCGUAAAGGGCGCGUAGGCGGACAGUUUAGUCAGAGGUAAAAGCCCAGGGCUCAACCUUGGAACUGCCUUUGAUACUGGCUGUCUUGAGUUCGGGAGAGGUGAGUGGAAUGCCGAGUGUAGAGGUGAAAUUCGUAGAUAUUCGGCGGAACACCAGUGGCGAAGGCGACUCACUGGCCCGAUACUGACGCUGAGGCGC